AGAAGAUAAUUUGUUCACUGUAAUAUGCUUGCUUGUCUUAGUUUGCAUAAGAAUGUACUGUAAUAUGUUAACCUAAUUUGUUUUGCAUAAGAUAGUGGCUAAGAAUGUACUGGUGUGUCUUUGAAAUGCUUAUUUGCUUACAAGGUGAUAAGGAGGUUGAGAUUAAAGUCCUGGGCGUGUGUGUAUCUGGUCUGCUUGCUGUAUCUCAAAAGAAGAGACUUAGAAGCUAUCACAACGACCAGACUCAGACUACAUUUGGAGAGUCACGUCUGCAAAGAGAAAAGGGGGGAUAAAAGGAAGGUUAGGACAGAACAUUUUUGCGCGCCAUUGGUGGAGCAGGAGACUCCCCGGCCGCCCAGCGCUGAAUUUUUGCCUGCCUUACUUGCUUGCUAAUUUUAAAUAAAAUUGCUUUAUUGAAUUAAGACAC